GCCCUAGUAGCUCAGUUGGUAGAGCGACUGUUUCGUAAACAGUAGGUCGGGAGUUCAACUCUUCCCUAGGGCU
rnacentral:tRNA from 10 species